rnacentral:rRNA from 1 species
AGAACUUAGCAGAGAUGCUUUGGUGCCUUCGGGAACUCUGAGACAGGUGCUGCAUGGCUGUCGUCAGCUCGUGUUGUGAAAUGUUGGGUUAAGUCCCGCAACGAGCGCAACCCUUAUCCUUUGUUGCCAGCGGUUAGGCCGGGAACUCAAAGGAGGCUGCCAGUGAUAAACUGGAGGAAGGUGGGGAUGACGUCAAGUCAUCAUGGCCCUUACGAGUAGGGCUACACACGUGCUACAAUGGCGCAUACAAAGAGAAGCGACCUCGCGAGAGCAAGCGGACCUCAUAAAGUGCGUCGUAGUCCGGAUUGGAGUCUGCAACUCGACUCCAUGAAGUCGGAAUCGCUAGUAAUCGUGGAUCAGAAUGCCACGGUGAAUACGUUCCCGGGCCUUGUACACACCGCCCGUCACACCAUGGGAGUGGGUUGCAAAAGAAGUAGGUAGCUUAACCUUCGGGAGGGCGCUUACCACUUUGUGAUUCAUGACUGGGGUGAAGUCGUAACAAGGUAGGCGUAGUGCU